rnacentral:rRNA from 1 species
AUUGAACGCUGGCGGCAUGCCUUACACAUGCAAGUCGAACGGCAGCACGGGUGCUUGCACCUGGUGGCGAGUGGCGAACGGGUGAGUAAUACAUCGGAACAUGUCCUGUAGUGGGGGAUAGCCCGGCGAAAGCCGGAUUAAUACCGCAUACGAUCUACGGAUGACAGCGGGGGACCUUCGGGCCUCGCGCUAUAGGGUUGGCCGAUGGCUGAUUAGCUAGUUGGUGGGGUAAAGGCCUACCAAGGCGACGAUCAGUAGCUGGUCUGAGAGGACGACCAGCCGCACUGGGACUGAGACACGGCCCAGACUCCUACGGGAGGCAGCAGUGGGGAAUUUUGGACAAUGGGCGAAAGCCUGAUCCAGCAAUGCCGCGUGUGUGAAGAAGGCCUUCGGGUUGUGAAGCACUUUUGUCCGGAAAGAAAUCCUUGGCCCUAAUACGGUCGGGGGAUGACGGUACCGGAAGAAUAAGCACCAGCUAACUACGUG